UUUGUUAGACUAAUAAGUGUAUCUUGACUCAGGUGGACAGCAAAGGCAAAGUUCACCUCUAAUCUAUAAAACAGUGAUUUCAGAUGUUCGAGGAACUGGGCUGGGGAUGUAGCUCAGUGGCCGAGCACUUUUCUGGCCUGUGUGGAGGCCUAGUUCCUACCCCUAGUGUUGAAAACAGGAAACAACUUGCUGUGAAUUGUUACAGGAAUUAGGUCCUAUUGUCUCCACCUUGUUCCUUCUGUUCAUUGUUCCAGAUGCUUCUCUCAAGUUGUGCCUGAGUCAGUCCUGGACAAUGAUACUAUUAGAAGAAAGGGAUGACUAGCCCCAGUCUCUGCUGACUUUGUGCUUUAACAUGAUUUGAAGUCAUCAUUGCUGCUUAAGGUUUAUAAGCAGAGCAUUUGCUCUUGCAAGUUCCUACCCAAGUGCUUGAAAUGGAACCGUUUCCCAUGCUUAGUGCACAACUUCAGAGUGCCUAGAAGGCACUUGGGCUAUGCAAGAGAGGUGUGAGUAAAAACUUCAGUGCUUUGCCAAGUUCUCUUUGUAACUCCUUGACUUAUUAGGGUUGUCUAUAUGGAAUAAUUGCUGCUUUGAUAAGAAACAAAUAUUAACUUACACAUGAAAUGAAUGUUAGUUUCAGAGUUUGUACCCAUAAGUACAAGUCUGAGCUGAUUCACUUUGUGCCUCUGUUGACUUAAAUUAUAGUGAUGAAUGUACACACACAUUCACGGUUCCCGAGCAACCUUGGAGUUUGUAAAAUGAAGUUCAGCCCCGAUACGUUAUGCUGUCAUGAAUGAAGAAUGGCUAGAUGGGGUCAUUUGUCACUCCGAGUUCUACGGAGAGAGGUGUGUUGUGACUGUUGGAAAAACACAACUGAGACGUGUGUGGCUCGGACCGUGCUCCUCAUGAGUUGCUAAGCAAUCUGUUGUUUGUCAUAAGCAGCCCGAUCCUGCCGCACACAGGCACUUCUGUACCCUAGUAACCACAACAAUAAAAUGGCAGUUCUUCUUCACA
rnacentral:lncRNA from 1 species